GAUGAAGAACGUAGCGAAGUGCGAUAAGUAAUGUGAAUUGCAGAAUUCCGUGAAUCAUCGAAUCUUUGAACGCAAAUUGCGCUUCCUGGCAUCCCGGGAAGUAUGCCUGUUUGAGGGUCAGUGUUAAUAAAAAUCGGUUCGUUGCGAAUUUUUUGUGACGUUCCGGAGUUUGGGUUAUCUUAACUUUUUUGGUUAAGAGGCUUAAAAUUGACCUUUUUUUUGCGCAUUUUUUAGACGUACAUAAAUUUUUUUUUUAUUCGUCUAUUCUUAAUGCCAAAAUAUAUUAGAUGCGACCAUAUCGUGUGGUUCCGUGUCUAUAAAUUUUUCAUGAUUUGACCUCAAAUCAGGUAGGAGUACCCGCUGAACUUAAGCAUAUCAAUAAGCGGAGGA
rnacentral:misc_RNA from 1 species